rnacentral:rRNA from 1 species
UACGAAGGGGGCUAGCGUUGCUCGGAAUCACUGGGCGUAAAGCGCACGUAGGCGGAUUGUUAAGUCGGGGGUGAAAUCCUGGAGCUCAACUCCAGAACUGCCUUCGAUACUGGCGAUCUUGAGUCCGGGAGAGGUGAGUGGAACUCCGAGUGUAGAGGUGAAAUUCGUAGAUAUUCGGAAGAACACCAGUGGCGAAGGCGGCUCACUGGCCCGGUACUGACGCUGAGGCACGAAAGCGUGGGGAGCAAACAGG